CUUCUGCCUCUGAUCUUUGGGCCAAACUUAAGGCUAAGUAUGAGACCAAAACUACUCCAAACAAAUGUUUUCUUUUAAAACAAUUCUUCUCUUUUAAAAUGGAUCCUGCAGCUGAUUUAGAAGAAAAUCUUGGUAGGUUUACAAAAGUUACCCAAGAUGGCCAAUUGUGAUGAAAAACUUUCAAAAGAUCAAUUGGUUGUAGUCUUGUUAAACUCCAUAAGUGACAAGUAUAAGGACAUUAAAGUUUCCCUUGAAUAUGGUAGAGAUGAACUCAUUCUUGAUGUUAUAACCAUUACUUUGAGGAAUAAAGCUUUAGAAAUCAAGACUGAGUCAAGUAACAGUCACACUGUAACUAGUUUUUUAAUUAAGGGAAAAUCUUUUGAAAAUCUACACAAAAUUUUAAGGUUCAAAAGCAAAUAAGAGAUGGGCUAACAGGAAUAAGACCAAGAAUAAUGCAAAAGGUAAAAAAAUGUUAUUAUUGUGGCGAACUUGGUCAUUUUGCAACAGACUGUUUUAAAAGGAAAAAUGAUUCAAAAGAAAAUGGUUUUGAGGGAAGCAAUGCAUUGGUCUAUGAUAAAACCAAAACAGAAAAUGGUUUUGUUUUAGUAAAUGCUGAAAAAUGUCUAAGUGAGUGAAAUUGGGACUGUCAAAUUAUUAUUAGAAAAUGGUAAUGUUUUGUUCCUUGAGAACACAAGACAUGUCCCAGAUUUGAAAAGGAACUUAGUGUCCUUAAGAAUGUUUGAUGACAAGGAGUUUAACAUAAUUAUGGGUCAAGGACAUAUAAAAAUUCUUUGGGGAAAUGACUUGGUCACUUCAGCCCCUAAGAGACAUGACCUUUAUUGCCUGAAUGCAAAACCUUUGCUUGGAUUAACUACUUUUGUUGUAUCUGAAAAUUUCACUUUGGCUAAAUUGUGGCAUGAAAGGCUUGGUCAUAUUGGUAAAAAGGGUUUGAAUAUUUUACAAUCAAAAGGUAUUUUUGGAAAAACAUAAUCUUCGUGAUUUUGGCUCCUUUGAACACUGUAUUUUGGGAAAGCAAGCUAAACUUCCUUUUCAAAGUGGAAUUCAUAAAUCCAAACAAAGACUUGAGUAUUUGCAUGCUAAUUUGUGGGGUCCUGCUUCUUUCUCUACUUUAACUGGUUUUAAAUAUUUUCUGCUAAUAGUUGAUGAUUUCUCAAGAAAACUUUGGGUUCAUCUACUAAAGUCUAAAGAUGAAACAUUUUCUAUUUUUAAGGACUGGAAAACUUAAGUUGAAAAUCAGGUUGAUCUUACAAUAAAAUAUUUAAGAAUUGAUAAUGG
rnacentral:lncRNA from 1 species